rnacentral:rRNA from 1 species
AGUGAACUCUGGCGGUAGGCCUAACACAUGCAAGUCGAACGGCAGCACAGAGGAGCUUGCUCCUUGGGUGGCGAGUGGCGGACGGGUGAGGAAUACAUCGGAAUCUACUCUGUCGUGGGGGAUAACGUAGGGAAACUUACGCUAAUACCGCAUACGACCUACGGGUGAAAGCAGGGGACCUUCGGGCCUUGCGCGAUUGAAUGAGCCGAUGUCGGAUUAGCUAGUUGGCGGGGUAAAGGCCCACCAAGGCGACGAUCCGUAGCUGGUCUGAGAGGAUGAUCAGCCACACUGGAACUGAGACACGGUCCAGACUCCUACGGGAGGCGGCAGUGGAGAAUAUUGGACAAUGGGCGCAAGCCUGAUCCAGCCAUACCGCGUGGGUGAAGAAGGCCUUCGGGUUGUAAAGCCCUUUUGUUGGGAAAGAAAUCCAGCUGGCUAAUACCCGGUUGGGAUGACGGUACCCAAAGAAUAAGCACCGGCUAACUUCGUGCCAGCAGCCGCGGUAA